AUUAUACUCCCUCCGUCCGAAAUUAUUUGUCGGAGAAAUGGAUGUAUCUAGACGUAUUUUAGUUCUAGAUACAUCCAUUUUUAUCCAUUUCUGCAACAAGUAGUUCCGGACGGAGGGAGUAUCAU
rnacentral:pre_miRNA from 14 species